UACGUAGGGUGCGAGCGUUGUCCGGAAUUAUUGGGCGUAAAGGGCUCGUAGGCGGUCUGUCGCGUCGGGAGUGAAAACUCAGGGCUUAACCCUGAGCCUGCUUCCGAUACGGGCAGACUAGAGUUCGGUAGGGGAGUCUGGAAUUCCUGGUGUAGCGGUGAAAUGCGCAGAUAUCAGGAGGAACACCGGUGGCGAAGGCGGGACUCUGGGCCGAUACUGACGCUGAGGCGCGAAGGCCAGGGGAGCAAACGGG
rnacentral:rRNA from 1 species